AUUGAACGCUGGCGGCAGGCCUAACACAUGCAAGUCGAGCGAGUGGCGGACGGGUGAGUACUGUCUGGGAAACUGCCCGAUGGAGGGGGAUAACUACUGGAAACGGUAGCUAAUACCGCAUACUAUCGGAUGUGCCCCUAUGGGAUUAGCUAGUAGGUGGGGUACAGGCUCACCUAGGCGACGAUCCCUAGCUGGUCUGAGAGGAUGACCAGCCACACUGGAACUGAGACACGGUCCAGACUCCUACGGGAGGCAGCAGUGGGGAAUAGUGCACAAUGGGCGCAAGCCUGAUGCAGCCAUGCCGCGUGUAUGAAGAAGGCCUUCGGGUUGUAAAGUACUUUCAGCGGGGAGGCGUUACCCGCAGAAGAAGCACCGGCUAACUCCGUGCCAGCAGCCGCGGUAAUAC
rnacentral:rRNA from 1 species